rnacentral:rRNA from 1 species
AACGAACGCUGGCGGCAUGCCUAACACAUGCAAGUCGAACGAGACCUUCGGGUCUAGUGGCGCACGGGUGCGUAACGCGUGGGAACCUGCCCUUAGGUUCGGAAUAACUCCCCGAAAGGGGUGCUAAUACCGGAUAAUGUCUUCGGACCAAAGAUUUAUCGCCUUUGGAUGGGCCCGCGUUGGAUUAGCUAGUUGGUAGGGUAAAAGCCUACCAAGGCGACGAUCCAUAGCUGGUCUGAGAGGAUGAUCAGCCACACUGGGACUGAGACACGGCCCAGACUCCUACGGGGGGCAGCAGGGGGGAAUAUUGGACAGGGGGCGAAAGCCUGAUCCAGCAAUGCCGGGGGAGUGAUGAAGGCCUUAGGGUUGUAAAGCUUUUUUCCCCGGGAUGAUAAUGACAGUACCGGGAAAAUAAGCCCCGGCUAACCCCGU